GAUAAAUUUUGUUUCUCAUUAUAUAUGCAGAAUAUUUAAAAAUUGUAUUGCGACAUUUAAGAGAUAAUUUAAAAAGAUUUGUUUCUAUUAGAUGUAAAAGUAAAAAACAGAUUAUUGUUAGAAACGUUGAUAAAAAAGAAUUGAAAGUGAAAGUAAGAAGCAUAGGAGUGUGUAUCCUUGUAAUUACUUCCCUUUGCACUUCUUUUAUCCAAUGGUAACUUUGGUUGUAAGCUAUAAAAAGAACACACCUCUCCUCAAUAGUAACAUUAUAUAUUCCUAUUUAUUAUGAUGCGCUAUAAAAAGACCAAGUAAAAACCUAUAUUUAUUUUUGCAUUAUUUUAUGAACAAACUCCCGUAUUUUUUGUUAACUUUAUGUUUAUUGGUCAGAGUAGUGAUAUUUUAUAUUUAAAGAAGAAUUAGAUUAUAAAAAAUCCGUCCAGAUUGAAGAUAUGUUUUAUGAUGUCAAAUGUUUUUUUGCUAGAAUUUUAUUUUAGAGAGUUAUAUAUUUUAAGAUUUUUUUUUCAUAUAUUUUUAGUGCUUUACUGAGGGUUCAUUGGUACUUUUAAAUUUAAGAAUGUUGGUCAUUUCAGAUUAUUUGCAAUCUAAUGAAAAGCCUGUGAAUCGACAACUUUCGAGUUCGUUGCAUUUCCGUCAAAAAGUUUAGUUUUAGUGAACACCAUUCUUACAUUUAGGGUGAGUUUUCACUUCUGUUCCUAUGUUGA
rnacentral:lncRNA from 1 species